rnacentral:rRNA from 1 species
UAACACAUGCAAGCCGAGCGGUAUAGAUUCUUCGGAAUCUAGAGAGCGGCGUACGGGUGCGGAACACGUGUGCAACCUACCUUUAUCAGGGGGAUAGCCUUUCGAAAGGAAGAUUAAUACCCCAUAAUAUAUUGACUGGCAUCAGUCGAUAUUGAAAACUCCGGUGGAUAGAGAUGGGCACGCGCAAGAUUAGAUAGUUGGUAGGGUAACGGCCUACCAAGUCAGUGAUCUUUAGGGGGCCUGAGAGGGUGAUCCCCCACACUGGUACUGAGACACGGACCAGACUCCUACGGGAGGCAGCAGUGAGGAAUAUUGGACAAUGGGUGAGAGCCUGAUCCAGCCAUCCCGCGUGAAGGACGACGGCCCUAUGGGUUGUAAACUUCUUUUGUAUAGGGAUAAACCUACUCUCGUGAGAGUAGCUGAAGGUACUAUACGAAUAAGCACCGGCUAACUCCGUGCCAGCAGCCGCGGUAAUACGGAGGGUGCAAGCGUUAUCCGGAUUUAUUGGGUUUAAAGGGUCCGUAGGCGGAUCUGUAAGUCAGUGGUGAAAUCUCAUAGCUUAACUAUGAAACUGCCAUUGAUACUGCAGGUCUUGAGUAAAGUAGAAGUGGCUGGAAUAAGUAGUGUAGCGGUGAAAUGCAUAGAUAUUACUUAGAACACCAAUUGCGAAGGCAGGUCACUAUGUUUUAACUGACGCUGAUGGACGAAAGCGUGGGGAGCGAACAGGAUUAGAUACCCUGGUAGUCCACGCCGUAAACGAUGCUAACUCGUUUUUGGGCUUUAGGGUUCAGAGACUAAGCGAAAGUGAUAAGUUAGCCACCUGGGGAGUACGUUCGCAAGAAUGAAACUCAAAGGAAUUGACGGGGGCCCGCACAAGCGGUGGAUUAUGUGGUUUAAUUCGAUGAUACGCGAGGAACCUUACCAAGGCUUAAAUGGGAAUUGACAGGUUUAGAAAUAGACUUUUCUUCGGACAAUUUUCAAGGUGCUGCAUGGUUGUCGUCAGCUCGUGCCGUGAGGUGUUAGGUUAAGUCCUGCAACGAGCGCAACCCCUGUCACUAGUUGCCAUCAUUCAGUUGGGGACUCUAGUGAGACUGCCUACGCAAGUAGAGAGGAAGGUGGGGAUGACGUCAAAUCAUCACGGCCCUUACGCCUUGGGCCACACACGUAAUACAAUGGCCAGUACAGAGGGCAGCUACCAGGCGACUGGAUGCGAAUCUCGAAAGCUGGUCUCAGUUCGGAUUGGAGUCUGCAACUCGACUCUAUGAAGCUGGAAUCGCUAGUAAUCGCAUAUCAGCCAUGAUGCGGUGAAUACGUUCCCGGGCCUUGUACACACCGCCCGUCAAGCCAUGGAAGUUUGGGGUACCUGAAGUCGGUGACCGUAACAGGAGCUGCCUAGG